rnacentral:misc_RNA from 1 species
ACAUUUACAAAUGAGUUUUAUAAAUCUGUAUAUAUAGCCCUGUAUAUAUGCUUUUCUCUUUACUUUUAACUCUGGGUUUUUGCUGUUAUUCAUUUCUUCAUAUAUCUACAAAUAUACUUCUCUCUCACUCUCACACACACACAUAUAUAUAUAUAUAUAUUGUUCUCCAUUCCCUCACCUUACCUUUCAGUCCCUGUAAGUGGUUGUCUGGUCUAGUGGACAAGGCAGACAACAGAGGGACAGUCACUGAAAAGCAAGGACUGUCGUUGUCUUUGACACACCAUUGCCCACACACACACACACACACACUGUCACUAAAUAAAACCCAACACAAACACACAUACUCUACUAAUAAGCUAUUCCACGAUACAUCAGAAACAACAAGACCAUGACAUACUAGCAUUUAAAUCUAACACACCAUACUGACAUACAUACACACAACAAGCACCGCGACACGUUAAUACAUAUACCACAAUAACAUACACAUAAGACAUUAAAACACAUAUAUAUACACACACACACACUUUCAGCAACGACAAGAAGCUGAAAAAAAAAAAAUGUCGCAAAUGUCAACGGCAAAUUUAGAAAAAAUUCUGCUGAAAUUUCUUCAGCAUGUCAACGAGUUGGAAAUUAAGGACGAGAGGACGUCUAUGACUGGAUUCGAACAGGAGUUCAGGGAAUUGCGUCUGCAAGGAAUCAAAGACAAGGAAGAGGACACAUAUCCGGCUGAAGAAGGCAAACAGAUCUUUAACAUCAAAAAGAACAGAUAUAAAGACAUCAUACCAUAUGAUGCCACCCGGGUGAAGUUAAAAUCCAUCCCAAAUGUACCUGGCUCGGAUUACAUUAAUGCUAACUAUAUCCAAUCUGCAGUUAGUGGCCAUGGAUAUAUUGCCUGCCAAGGACCAUUACCCAACACAGUUGCAGAUUUUUGGCGAAUGAUAAUGGAACUAGAUGUUGAAACUGUUGUGAUGGGCUGUAAGGAAGAAGAAGGUAACAAGCCAAAAUGUGAGCGAUAUUGGCCUAAAGACAGUGAAACCAAGUUAUUUGGCAACAUUGAAGUUAAAUUGGUCAAUGAAAUCAAGCACUCAUCCGACUUCAUUGUGCGCCAGAUGACCGCUACACAAGGGGACACUGUACAACAUAUCACCCAACUUCAUCUCGCUGAAUGGCCUGACCAUGGUGUGCCAGAUGUUGAGGACCAAACUUCUAUCUUGCAGACCAUCCAGAUGUUAGGAGAACGAGUGAGGCCACAUGUUCCAGUGGUUGUCCAUUGCAGUGCUGGCUGUGGACGAACCGGAACUAUUUGUGCCAUAGAUUAUGCUCAGAAUCUGCUGAAAUCAAAUAAAAUCACUCCAGACUUUAGCCUUUGUGAAAUUAUUAAAUUUAUGAGAACCCAGCGACAGUCAAUGGUUCAAACUCCUGACCAAUACCAACUCGCACAUUAUGUGGUGCGGCAAAUUUUCAAGAACCAUUUGAAAGGGAUGGGAAUCAGUCACUACGAAAAUAUAAAUGUCUAUGAGACCAUCAGCAUGUCCAAGUCCAGUGAUCUUGAUGAUCCUGGAUAUGAAAACAUCUCAGUUGAAAAUUCCAUUUCAACAUUUCCUGUUUAUGAAAGCAAACCCCGCCAAGAAACACCCCUGCCACCUGAGAGGAAAAAGAAGCCAGAAAACCUAACUGUAACCCCUGAACAAUGUACCUCGAAUAGUUUAUCUCCUGUUGAAAUGUCCCCACAAAAUCUCUCACCAACCCAAAGAACUCCCAGUCCUGCACUUUAUUCAAAUUCCCUGACUUGCAGACCAGUUACUCCAAUUGAGCAAGAAUGGAAGGUCACUUCAAGCGGGAUAUAUUCUAAUGUAAAUAAUACUUCCGAAGAUACCAAGAAAUUUAUGACAUGCAUAUCAGCUGGCAAUCAAGAAGAGGCUCAAAAUUUAUCUUCACAAGACACAAUUUCUAACCUUGACAGACAUGUGAUCCCAACUAAAGCACCACCAGUUUCACCUAGAUAUGACCACCUUCAGUUUAACGGCAAUAAUUCUCGGUCACCCUACCAAGAAUUAGUACCGUGUGUAAAAGGAGCAGCUGCCCUGAUGAAUUCUGAAAUGCCAUCCUCCAAGGCAAAGUCUUUGACGAUGUCCGGUCAUGGUAAGGCAGCAGAUAAUUCUAAAAACAACGAUGAUCAUGUUUAUUCUGUUGUGAGCAAAUCUCACAUGAGAAGUCUUUCUGAAUCUGAUAAAACUUACUGUGAAAUCUCUGCCAUGAAAAGCCCAGGAAACUGGUUUCACACCAAACCUCCCACCACGGAAAUACAAAAGUGAUAUGGAACCUUUUGAGAAAACAAAGGAAGAAAAACAUACGGGAAAAUUAGGAAAGAUGUUGGAAAUGUUACAUAUAAAGAACAGCUCGAAUUCUG